GAAAUGCAUUUUAUUUACAUAAUUUAUUGGUGCGAGAGAUCGCUCAGGACUUCAAGACCGACCUGCGCUUCCAGAGCGCCGCCAUCGGAGCGCUGCAGGAGGCCAGCGAGGCGUAUCUGGUCGGUCUGUUUGAGGACACUAACUUGUGUGCCAUCCACGCCAAGCGCGUCACCAUCAUGCCCAAAGACAUCCAGCUGGCGCGCCGCAUCCGCGGAGAACGUGCCUGAGAAGGUUGAAUAAGUGGGUCAGGGCUGAUGUCUGCAUUCAGGGCUUUGCGUCUCUCAUGCAGGGUGCUAAAACAGCUCUGACCUGUCCCAGAAUUCCCUGCACCGUCCAUCACGAGCGCACGUGUGUGUGUGUGAGGCUGUCGAUCAGCACGGGGUUUGUAUACGAGCAUCUCUCCAACAAAUGUUUAUUAUUGCAAUAUUAAGAAUUACUUUUAAUAAUUAUUGAUGUCUGUUUCUUUUUUUUAAUGCAUUCAUAUAAAGCUUGUUUCAUAGAUCUAGAGCAUAUUUUUGAAGGUGGAGAUUCUUAUAAAGGCAUUUUUACAUCACAAAUCAUGUUUAUUUUCUAAAGGAUGAGUUUGGGUUCAGUCUCAGGCAUGUGAAGGGAUGUUCAACAUUACUCUAAUUGGCUUCAGCGCUGAGAAUAACAUGUUUAUCUGCAUAAACGACCUGUUCAUUGAUAGGAGAGUCUGGAUGGACUGACUUAUUAAUUUGAACUGAAUAAAUAUAUAUUGGCUUGAUACUGUUUUUGAGUUUCGCCACGAUAAUUUCCUUCAUUACAGAGCAGUUUUCUACUCUCAUCCCUUCAGCGUCUCACGACUCCUCAGGCAGACAUGGAAACAUUAUUAUUAUUAAAUCCUGCUUGAUUUGUGGCUGUUUUUGUUUCUCCUUUAUUCAGAGUCUGACUACAGAACAUUCAGGUGUUUCAAUAAACUGAUCUUUGUCAAUUUCUCCUAAUUGUGUAAUAAAUGGAUGUCACACACUUUUGUGGUUUGUCUUUUAUUGUGAUGUUAAAAUAAA
rnacentral:lncRNA from 1 species